rnacentral:rRNA from 1 species
UGCUUCGGUAAUUGACCUAGCGGCGGACGGGUGAGUAAUACUUAGGAAUCUGCCUAUUAAUGGGGGACAACAUCUCGAAAGGGAUGCUAAUACCGCAUACGCCCUACGGGGGAAAGCAGGGGAUCACUUGUGACCUUGCGUUAAUAGAUGAGCCUAAGUCGGAUUAGCUAGUUGGUGGGGUAAAGGCCUACCAAGGCGACGAUCUGUAGCGGGUCUGAGAGGAUGAUCCGCCACACUGGGACUGAGACACGGCCCAGACUCCUACGGGAGGCAGCAGUGGGGAAUAUUGGACAAUGGGGGGAACCCUGAUCCAGCCAUGCCGCGUGUGUGAAGAAGGCCUUAUGGUUGUAAAGCACUUUAAGCGAGGAGGAGGCUCUCUUGGUUAAUACCCAAGAUGAGUGGACGUUACUCGCAGAAUAAGCACCGGCUAACUCUGUGCCAGCAGCCGCGGUAAUACAGAGGGUGCGAGCGUUAAUCGGAUUUACUGGGCGUAAAGCGUGCGUAGGCGGCUUUUUAAGUCGGAUGUGAAAUCCCCGAGCUUAACUUGGGAAUUGCAUUCGAUACUGGGAAGCUAGAGUAUGGGAGAGGAUGGUAGAAUUCCAGGUGUAGCGGUGAAAUGCGUAGAGAUCUGGAGGAAUACCGAUGGCGAAGGCAGCCAUCUGGCCUAAUACUGACGCUGAGGUACGAAAGCAUGGGGGAGCAAACAGGAUUAGAUACCCUGGUAGUCCAUGCCGUAAACGAUGUCUACUA